AGUGAACGCUGGCGGUAGGCCUAACACAUGCAAGUCGAACGGCAGCACAGUAAGAGCUUGCUCUUACGGAGGGGGAGUGGCGUACGGGAGAGGAAUACAUCGGAAUCUACUUUUUCGGGUGGAUUACGGAGGGAAACUUACACUAAUACCACAUACGACCGACGGGUGAAAGCAGUGGGUCUUCUGACCUGGCUCGAGUUGAUGAGCCGAUGUCGGAGUAGCUAGUUGGCGGGGUAAAGUCCCACCAAGUCGACGAGUCGCAGAUCGUCUCAGUGGAUGGUCGGCCACCUUGGAACUUAGACACGCUCCAGACUCCUACGGGAGGGCGCAGUGGCGAAUAUUGGACAACGGGGGCGAGCCUGAUACAGCCAUCCCGCGUGGGUGAAGAAGGCCUUCGGGUUGUAAAGACCUUUUGUUGGGAAAGAAAAGCAGCAGGUUAAUACCAAGCUGUUGUGACGGUACUCAAAGAAUAAGCACCGGCUAACUUCGUG
rnacentral:rRNA from 1 species